GAUGAACGCUGGCGGCGUGCCUAAUACAUGCAAGUCGAGCGAACGGACGAGAAGCUUGCUUUUCUGAUGUUAGCGGCGGACGGGUGAGUAACACGUGGAUAACCUACCUAUAAGACUGGGAUAACUUCGGGAAACCGGAGCUAAUACCGGAUAAUAUUUUGAACCGCAUGGUUCAAAAGUGAAAGACGGUCUUGCUGUCACUUAUAGAUGGAUCCGCGCUGCAUUAGCUAGUUGGUAAGGUAACGGCUUACCAAGGCAACGAUGCAUAGCCGACCUGAGAGGGUGAUCGGCCACACUGGAACUGAGACACGGUCCAGACUCCUACGGGAGGCAGCAGUAGGGAAUAUUCCGCAAUGGGCGAAAGCCUGACGGAGCAACGCCGCGUGAGUGAUGAAGGUCUUCGGAUCGUAAAACUCUGUUAUUAGGGAAGAACAUAUGUGUAAGUAACUGUGCACAUCUUGACGGUACCUAAUCAGAAAGCCACGGCUAACUACGUG
rnacentral:rRNA from 1 species